rnacentral:rRNA from 1 species
GAUGAACGCUGGCGGCGUGCCUAAUACAUGCAAGUCGAGCGAACAGACGAGGAGCUUGCUCCUUCGACGUUAGCGGCGGACGGGUGAGUAAGACGUAGGUAACCUACCUAUAAGACUGGGAUAACUUCGGGAAACCGGAGCUAAUACCGGCUAAUAUUACGAACCGCAUGGUUCGAUAGUGAAAGAUGGCUUUGCUAUCACUUAUAGAUGGACCUGCGUCGUAUUAGCUAGUUGGUAAGGUAACGGCUUACCAAGGCGACGAUACGUAGCCGACCUGAGAGGGUGAUCGGCCACACUGGAACUGAGACACGGUCCAGACUCCUACGGGAGGCAGCAGUAGGGAAUCUUGCGCAAUGGGCGAAAGCCUGACGCAGCAACGCCGCGUGAGUGAUGAAGGUCUUCGGAUUGUAAAGCUCUGUUAUUAGGGAAGAAAAACAGUGGAAGUAACUGUGCACGUCCUGACGGUACCUAAACAGAAAGCCACGGCUAACUACGUG